rnacentral:rRNA from 1 species
UGUGUAGGCGGUUGUUUAAGUUUGGUGUGAAAUCUCCCGGCUCAACCGGGAGGGUGCGCCGAAUACUGAGCGACUAGAGUGCGGGAGAGGAGAGUGGAAUUCCUGGUGUAGCGGUGAAAUGCGUAGAUAUCAGGAGGAACACCGGUGGUGUAGACGGCUCUCUGGACCGUGACUGACGCUGAGACACGAAAGCGUGGGUAGCAAACAGGAUUAGAUACCCUGGUAGUCCACGCCCUAAACGAUGCAUAUUUGGUGUGGGUCAUUCAGUUGAUCCGUGCCGGAGCUAACGCGUUAAAUAUGCCGCCUGGGGAGUACAGUCGCAAGGCUGAA